rnacentral:rRNA from 1 species
AGUGAACGCUGGCGGUAGGCCUAACACAUGCAAGUCGAACGGCAGCACAGUAAGAGCUUGCUCUUACGGGUGGCGAGUGGCGGACGGGUGAGGAAUACAUCGGAAUCUACUUUUUCGUGGGGGAUAACGUAGGGAAACUUACGCUAAUACCGCAUACGACCUACGGGUGAAAGCAGGGGAUCUUCGGACCUUGCGCGAUUGAAUGAGCCGAUGUCGGAUUAGCUAGUUGGCGGGGUAAAGGCCCACCAAGGCGACGAUCCGUAGCUGGUCUGAGAGGAUGAUCAGCCACACUGGAACGGAGACACGGUCCAGACUCCUACGGGAGGCAGCAGUGGGGAAUAUUGGACAAUGGGCGCAAGCCUGAUCCAGCCAUACCGCGUGGGUGAAGAAGGCCUUCGGGUUGUAAAGCCCCUUUGUUGGGAAAGAAAAGCAGCAGGUUAAUACCCAGCUGUUCUGACGGUACCCAAAGAAUAAGCACCGGCUAACUUCGUG